UGCCCAAGAGACUGGGAUAACACCUGGAAACAGAUGCUAAUACCGGAUAACAACACUAGACGCAUGUCUAGAGUUUAAAAGAUGGUUCUGCUAUCACUCUUGGAUGGACCUGCGGUGCAUUAGCUAGUUGGUAAGGUAACGGCUUACCAAGGCAAUGAUGCAUAGCCGAGUUGAGAGACUGAUCGGCCACAUUGGGACUGAGACACGGUCCAAACUCCUACGGGAGGCAGCAGCG
rnacentral:rRNA from 1 species